UACGUAGGGUGCAAGCGUUGUCCGGAAUUAUUGGGCGUAAAGAGCUCGUAGGCGGUUUGUCGCGUCUGCUGUGAAAACUCGGGGCUUAACCCCGGGCCUGCAGUGGGUACGGGCAGACUAGAGUGCGGUAGGGGAGACUGGAAUUCCUGGUGUAGCGGUGAAAUGCGCAGAUAUCAGGAGGAACACCGAUGGCGAAGGCAGAUCUCUGGGCCGUAACUGACGCUGAGGAGCGAAAGCAUGGGGGAGCGAACAGG
rnacentral:rRNA from 1 species